rnacentral:rRNA from 1 species
GAGUUUGAUCAUGGCUCAGAACGUACGCUGGCGGCACGCCUAACACAUGCAAGUCGAACGAAGUAGCAAUACUUAGUGGCAGACGGGUGAGUAACAUGUAGGUAUCUGCCCUUUGGCCUGGAAUAACACGAGGAAACUUGUGCUAAUACCGGAUAAGUCUUUACGGAGAAAGCUUUAUGCACCAUUGGAUGAGCCUGCACUUGAUUAGUUUGUUGGUGGGGUAAUGGCCUACCAAGACUGUGAUCAAUAGCUGAUUUGAGAGGAUGAUCAGCCACAUUGGGACUGAGACACGGCCCAAACUCCUACGGGAGGCAGCAGUGGGGAAUCUUGCACAAUGGAGGAAACUCUGAUGCAGCGAUGCCGCGUGAGUGAAGAAGGCCCUUGGGUUGUAAAGCUCUUUCGUCGGGGAAGAAAAUGACUGUACCCGAAUAAGAAGGUCCGGCUAACUUCGUGCCAGCAGCCGCGGUAAUACGAAGGGACCUAGCGUAGUUCGGAAUUACUGGGCUUAAAGAGUUCGUAGGUGGUUGAAAAAGUUAGUGGUGAAAUCCCAGAGCUUAACUCUGGAACUGCCAUUAAAACUUUUCAGCUAGAGUAUGAUAGAGGAAAGCAGAAUUUCUAGUGUAGAGGUGAAAUUCGUAGAUAUUAGAAAGAAUACCAAUUGCGAAGGCAGCUUUCUGGAUCAUUACUGACACUGAGGAACGAAAGCAUGGGUAGCGAAGAGGAUUAGAUACCCUCGUAGUCCAUGCCGUAAACGAUGUGUGUUAGACGUUGGAAAUUUAUUUUCAGUGUCGCAGCGAAAGCGAUAAACACACCGCCUGGGGAGUACGACCGCAAGGUUAAAACUCAAAUGAAUUGACGGGGACCCGCACAAGUAGUGGAGCAUGUGGUUUAAUUCGAAGAUACGCGCAGAACCUUACCAACACUUGACAUGUUCGUCGCGACUCUAAGAGAUUAGAGUUUUCGGUUCGGCCGGACGAAACACAGGUGCUGCAUGGCUGUCGUCAGCUCGUGUCGUGAGAUGUUGGGUUAAGUCCCGCAACGAGCGCAACCCUCACUUUUAGUUGCCAUCAUUAAGUUGGGCACUCUGAAAGAACUGCCAGUGAUAAGCUGGAGGAAGGUGGGGAUGACGUCAAGUCCUCAUGGCCCUUACGUGUUGGGCUACACACGUGCUACAAUGGUAUCUACAACAGGAAGCAAGACCGCGAAGUUAAGCAAAUCCCGAAAAGAUACCUCAGUUCGGAUUGCACUCUGCAACUCGAGUGCAUGAAGCUGGAAUUACUAGUAAUCGUAGAUCAGCGUGCUACGGUGAAUGCGUUCCCGGGUCUUGUACACACCGCCCGUCACACCAUGGGAGUUGGUUCUACCUUAAGGCAAGGUUUCAAACCCUUGACCACGGUAUAGUCAGCGACUGGGGUGAAGUCGUAACAAGGUAACC